AAGGAGUUUAGUUGCGAAGUUAAUCGAAAAUGACUAUUAAUUUCUGUUGGUCAAACGUGGGUCAAGCCUGGUCAAUUCCUAGUAGACCUAGGAGAUUCUAAUCAAACUAGGAAGAAGUUGAAUCGAUAAUUAUUAUGGGAUCCGGUCUGACCGAUUUGUUCUUUUGUUUAUUAUCAGACGUGGAGUUUGACAUGAAUCUAAUAAGCUUAACCCUAGAAAGGGUAAUGGGUUAGAUAGAAGAAUUUUGAGUUUUAUAUUUAAGUAUUCUUUUUCUGAAAUUGAAGUUUGGUCCUAAGCAUGGUUAUUGUGUCAAGAUUCGAGGAGACCUCACUGGAGUGUAUAUUUGGAUUUCGUCGGGCUUAUGCGUAGAGUAGUGAGUGGACUUUGGUUUUAAAUAAUAUGCAUACUAUGGUUUUGGUUGAACAUUUAAAUUGUUGGAGCAUUUUGACGUCAUUUUGAUUUUGACGAUUUAUUUCUCUUGGAGAGUUACCGAAAAUUGGAUUUUCGGUGAUAUAAAUAUGUAUUUAUGAGGAGAGUAUGUAUAAAAAUGCUAGCUAGCCCUAUGUGUCUGUCCACCUUAAUGGCGUAGCAUAUAGCCGCAUUACGGUGUGACGUGAGCGUUGGACGCGAGCGUAGUAGCCCUAUAUGAGUGUUUAAUUCAUAUAGAGGGUAUGGGCACAUAUUUAUACACCCGUCUAUCCACUUUAAUGGCAUAGUGUAGCACCGCAUUAAGGCGUGACGUGAGCGUUGGACGCGAGCGUAGUAGCCCUAUAUAGACCAAUGGAUUUAUAUUGGGAGUAUGGACGUGUGUAAUACAUAUAUAUUGGGCGUUGACCGUCUCUCUCUCUUCUCCCCGACUCUCUCUCUCGUUCCUCAGCCUUGCCGCGCCGGAGUGGCGCCGUCCGGCCACUUUUAGCGACGAGACCACCACCCAAAAUGAUCCUCUUCUUCUCUUCUCCCUGACCUUGUCCUUAAAUUUCAUGUGCAAGCAUGUUUGAUGCCGAUCGGUGGUGGAGGAGGAUGAUUGUCCUUGAAGAAAUCCGGUGAGCCUAGCGGUGGUUCUAGUGUAGAAGGGUAGGUUCCCACUUCUCUCUUCCUCCUCUUCAUUUUUGUGGCCUUGCGUGUUCAAAUCGAGCCCUAAUUCUAGAAACCCUUUCUUCUCUGUUUUCUGGGUUUUGGGUUCCUAGCUCCGGCGACCUGGGUUCAAGGAUUUUCGGCAAGCUCUUCAGCGUUUCAAUGGGUUCUGUGAGCUUUGUGUGAAGUCGGGGUGGAUCUUGGAGGAGUUGCUUGUUGGUCCGGGCUGAGGCAGAGGUCGGGUGCGUUAGGGCUGAGAGGAACCGAAGUGUGGGGUGUUGAUUUGGUGGAGUUGGCAACCGAGGUAGCAAAUGCAAGUGGUUGGAGGUUUUUGCAGGUUGGGGUCCGGCAGGAGAGCAGCUAAACUAGAGUUUUGGGAUCGACUGAAGGUAAAAUCGAUCUCCUCUGGUAAAAUCGACGUUUUUCCCUGCUAUUGUGUAUUUGCUGCCUCGGUAAUCUUUCUAAGUGAGAAAAGUUUGUAGAUGGUAAUCGGAAAUCUUUCUAAGUGAGAAAAGUUUCUAUUUUAGGAAACUUUCCCUUUUUAAACACUUCCUGACAAGACCCACCCCGAAUUUCACCCUGAAACCCAGAGUAAGUCGUGCGAGGACCACCUCUAAGGAAAAUUUACCGAAAAAUCGGGAUAACCUCCCUUGAAAAUGGACAACCCUUCCUAAUAAUACCUGCAAACACUUCUGAAAAUUUAAAUCCAACCUUAAACUCCUGGAGCCUCCGUGCUCCCCAAAUCACAACACCACCCAAAUUAUUUACUAAUCUAAACAAAUCUCAUAUCCAACCAUUUAUAGGUUCAGAGCAACUCUAACAGGAAGAAAGGAAACAUAAUAAAUUAACAAGCGGAAGCUAUAUGAUGACUAUGCCUUAUCUCCAUGUACGCCCGACCUUGACUAAGCUAACCUACAAGCUGGGCAUUUUUAAAACGAAGGGCCCAGGGGAAAACAUUUGAAACACAUUAGAGUGAGUGGACAAAAAUAAAUUAAUAAAUAAAAUAUUUAUGUUUCCCC
rnacentral:lncRNA from 1 species